rnacentral:rRNA from 1 species
UACGUAGGGGGCAAGCGUUGUCCGGAUUUAUUGGGCGUAAAGAGCGUGUAGGCGGUUUGGUAGGUCAGCUGUGAAAACUCGAGGCUCAACCUCGAGACGUCGGUUGAAACCGUAUGGCUAGAGUCCGGAAGAGGAGAGUGGAAUUCCCGGUGUAGCGGUGAAAUGCGCAGAUAUCGGGAAGAACACCCGUGGCGAAGGCGGCUCUCUGGGACGGUACUGACGCUGAGACGCGAAAGCGUGGGGAGCGAACAGG